rnacentral:rRNA from 1 species
AUGAGGCAUUGGCACACCAACGGUUCCAUAGUUUUGGUGCAAAGGAAAUCUGUAAGAUUAAAAUCCCUAGGAAGGAUGUGGAGGAUUGUGUGGCUUGGCAUAAAAAACGAGAGAUCAGGCGUAUUCUCUGCCCAUUGCGCGUAUAAGUUGGGCACUCAACUGAAACACCAAGUUAGUGUAAAAGCGUCGAGCUCGGGAUGCGAUGCUGACAACAAGAGUAUAUGGGAUAACAUAUGGAAAGCAAAAGUGCGUGAGAAAAUUCGGAUUUUUGCAUGGCGGGUAGCCACUGAGACCUUACCUACAAAAGAAAAUAAACAGAAGAGAACAUUAGAGGUAGAAAACACUUGUGACAUCUGCGGCACUGAGAAAGAGGAUGAAGUUCAUGCGGUGAUCAAUUGUACCAAAGCCAAGGUGCUUCGAAAUGAGAUGAGGGCACACUGGGUGCUACCAGCAGAGGAUCACUUUCAAUACAUAGGCAUUAUUGGCUUCAAAAUCUGCUCGGUUCUUGUACUACCAAAGAGCGCGCCAAGAUCCUCCUGCUACUGUGGCGUGCGUGGUGGCUUUGGGAUGACCGCAUCCAUGCUAAAGGCAGGCGUUGGUUGGCCAGCCAGUCCAAUUCUUAGUGAAAUAUGCUGA